rnacentral:rRNA from 1 species
UACGGAGGGUGCGAGCGUUGUCCGGAAUCACUGGGCGUAAAGGGCGCGUAGGCGGUCUGCUAAGCGUGCGGUGAAAGCCCGGGGCUCAACCCCGGGUCGGCCGUGGCAACUGCUGGGCUGGAGCACAGUAGAGGCGGGUGGAAUUCCGGGUGUAGCGGUGGAAUGCGUAGAGAUCCGGAAGAACACCGGUGGCGAAGGCGGCCCGCUGGGCUGUUGCUGACGCUGAGGCGCGACAGCGUGGGGAGCAAACAGGAU